GCCCUCGUGAUGUAGUGGUCAGCACGCUGGGCGCGUAUUCCAGAGGCCCGUGGUUCGAGUCCCGGCGAAGGCG
rnacentral:tRNA from 1 species